rfam:Morus notabilis contig10235, whole genome shotgun sequence.
CUGCACGAUGCACCCCGGGCUUCCCUGACGAUCUGGUUGACGGCGAAAGCCCCAAUGCUCGUGCUAAAUCGCCGCCGUUCAGUGUUGCAGUUUGGCUUUGUUCUUCCACGGUUGAUCUGUGUCAAAGCAACGGCUAAAUCU